rnacentral:rRNA from 1 species
AGAGUUUGAUCAUGGCUCAGAAUCAACGCUGGCGGCGUGCCUCAGACAUGCAAGUCGAACGCGAAAGUCCCCUUCGGGGGGCAAGUAGAGUGGCGCACGGGUGAGUAACACGUAGGUAAUCUACCUUUGGAUUGGGAAUAACAACCGGAAACGGUUGCUAAUACCGAAUAAUGCAGCGGCACCUAGUGGUGACAGUUGUUAAAGCGGGGGAUCGCAAGACCUCGCGUCUGAAGAGGAGCCUGCGGCAGAUUAGCUAGUUGGUAAGGUAACGGCUUACCAAGGCGAUGAUCUGUAGCCGGCCUGAGAGGGCGGUCGGCCACACUGACACUGACAUACGGGUCAGACUCCUACGGGAGGCAGCAGUCGGGAAUUUUGGGCAAUGGGCGAAAGCCUUACCCAGCAACGCCGCGUGAAGGAUGAAAUCCUUCGGGGAUGUAACUUCGCAAGAACGGGAAAAAUAAGUAAGGGUUAAUAUCUCUUACGAUGACGGUACUGUUU